GUCCUAGCCGUAAACGGUGCACGUUUGCUGUAAAAGGAAUCGACCCCUUUUGUGGCGUAGCCAACGCGUUAAACGUGCCGCCUGGGAAGUACGGUCGCAAGAUUAAAACUCAAAGAAAUUGACGGGGGCCUGCACAAGCGGUGGAGUAUGUGGCUCAAUUCGAUGCAACGCGAAGAACCUUACCUGGCCUUGACAUGUACGUAGUAGAAGGGUGAAAGCCUGACGAGCUCGCAAGAGCAGCGUACACAGGUGCUGCAUGGCUGUCGU
rnacentral:rRNA from 1 species